rnacentral:lncRNA from 1 species
CCACUUCCGGCAGGGGGCGAGGCCGCCAGGCUUGUUAGCAUCCGGCGGGCCCAGGCGGCCGCGGCGCCCCCUGCCGGCCGCGGAGGGCGCGCCUUGGAGGGAGAGGACUUUAGGUGACGCCGCCAGGAGGCGAAAUUUCACCUGCCAGCAGCUCUGGAGGUCAAAAGAAAUGAGACUGCUGGGCUAAGAUCAAGGUGUCAGCAGGGCUGUAUUCCUUCCCAAGGCUCCAGGGGAGAAUCUGUUCACUUGCCUUUCCCAGCUUCUAGAGGUUGCCUACAUUCCUUGGCUUGCGGACCCUUCCUCCAUCUCCAGAAUCAGUAACGAAAGAUCCAAAGCCAUAUCCUGGCUGAGUUGGCUGAGUUGAGCAGGACACUGACAAGGAGGCUGCUGAGCCUGCAACUCGACUGUUCUGUUUGAGGAGCUCUGUGCUUUAUCAUAGAAAUGGAUCUGAGAUGUGGUCUCCCUAUGCUGCCCAGGCUCAUCUCAAACUCCUGGGCUCAAGCAUUCCUCCCACCUUGGCCUCCUAAAGUGCUGGGAUCAUAGGCGUGAACCACUGUGCCUGGCCUCAUGAUAUAACUUCUUAAUGUUAGUUUUUCCUUAAAGAGGGACUGCUUGCAGAGAGCUGUCACUUCUUUCUGCUUAGAACAGAUGAAAAUACAGAAGUAUAACAUCUCUAGUGGCUCAAAGAUAUACACAGAGCAUUAACAAUCCACUCACAGGAGUGUCAACACAUAUGCAGACAUCUGCCAUGCAUAGUUUGAAAAAACACCCCUGCAUCUGUAAGGACAGAUCUGUAUUUGUCAUUAGAGGGGAACAUUACAUUCAAAUUAUUUUAACAAAUGAACUUUGGGAUUUAAAAAACCACUGCUUUUCCCUUUAAUUCCAGUGCCUGUAUAACCUGCUUGAGUGAUGGGACAAAAAGUUAAUUCUACUUCUCUGUUGUUUCAUAGAAUAAUAUAUUUAGCUUCAAAAGAUAAUGUGAAGUUUCUCUAAAGAGAAAACAAAUUCUAGUGUGAUCAGGUGAUUUGGAAGCUGAGAUCUACAACACAGACUCCAGUGACUAAUGAGUGGUAUAAAACACAAUACAAUUAUAAAAAGAUGACUGUGAGGAAUUUUUAUUUUCCUUUCAUGUUCACUAAUUGCAAGCUUUCUUCAUUUCGGUAAUAUCUAAAAUGAUCUCCUCUUGUCGGAGGUAGAUUUUCCCAGUAGCUUCUAACUCCUGUGUCAAAGAGAAAAUAAAGAUUUACCUUUAAAGAGAGUCACUGAUUGGCUCACCUGAUUAUACUGUUUAAAAACAAUAGCCUUAAGAGAGUCCAGAUACCGACUUCUCAGGUCCAUUUUCACAAUCUGAUGGUGUUUGCUAGCAAUUGUCAGCGCCUUGAAAUGAAAAUUUGCAAGACUAUUACUAGGAUUACUGCCUCUGUGUUUAUAAUACUUGUCAAAGUAAAAUGUAAGAGCUGCAAUUAGGGAAUAGUUUCCCCGUAAGUGUAAAAAGAAGUCUAGAAAAACAUCUGAUAGCCUGUUACUGAGCUUCAAAAACAAAGUGGUUAAUGGCAUUAAUACUCUGAUAAAUGCAGUCUUUUGUAUCAUUUCUUAGAAAAGCGAUCCUGUUUAAAGUUAGGAGUUACUAAUAAAUCAAGUUCAGACUUUGGAAUAAACAAUAAAUACUCAAAAUGUUACUGUUUUUGAAUAUCAGUCAUCUAAUACCAUAAUGAUAUUGCCAUACAAAAACGCAGAUAUGUAUGCUUUUUGGCAAAUACUGAAGAAAUAAGUGUGUAUUGAAUACAGCUCAUAAGAGUUUCCUGUCAUUAGGGGAAAAGAAGACUGAAACAGAAUUACUAUGAUAGGAUAAGAUGUUUAACCUGAUCUAGAGAACAGACAAGUUUGCCUUAAGAUACACAAUAGAAAUGAACAUUAGUCCGCGCAGUGGCUCACGGCUGUAAUCCCAGCGCUUUGGCAGGCCAAGGCAGGUGGAUCACUUGAAGUCGGGAG